UGAAGGAUAGCACAGUUGGGUAGAGCAUAAGACUCUUAAUCUCAGAGACAUGGGUUCGAAUUCCGUGCUGGGCAAAA